rnacentral:lncRNA from 1 species
CGGACCACCCGAGUGAAUAGUCCUCGCGCCGGUGGGACACGGCGGUGAGUGCUUUCCCCUCGCCUCCAGCCUCCAGGAGGUUCCCGGCGCCUCAGGCAGCUGCAGCUUCGAAGCGGCUGCCACCGCACCUGGGCAGCCUGGACCCUCGUGCCCUGCUCCCGAGGCCUUGCGCGGUGGGCGCCCCGGGACACCCCUGCGGGCCGGGUGGAGGAGGAGAAAGAAGAAUAAGAGGAAGACGUGGACCAGGAUCCCCAACCUCCCCACAACACCUGGCCUCUCCGCUUCCACUUCUUUCACACAAGGAGAGAGGAGCCAGCAAGAGCCAUGGGGGGCUGCGAAGUCCGAGAAUUUCUUUGGCAAUUUGGAUUCUUUUUGCCUCUGAGGACAGCUUGGCCGGGCUACUGUAGUCACGUCUCCAACAACCAAGUGGACUUACCUGCUGAAAGGAAGAUUCCCUGGGGAGACACAUCAUCAGUGACUAAAUUGACCUUCACAUGUAUGGACUGGUCUUCUCUAUGCCUGAUUAAUGGACGUGUUCUAUCGUUCUUGCCAUUUUCUGAAAUUGUCCAGCAAGUCCUUUUUCAUGAGUGUCUUUGGAGGAGUGACUGAAGCUAGAGUAAAUGCUGCUGCCAGGUGCCAUCUGUGGGAGUCAGAUUCAUGAAAACACUACCUUGUGUUCAUAACCACUUUAUUCAUCAGACCUGGUACAGUGCAAAAUCUGACUUACCGUCAAAGACAAAAUGGCCAUGGAAGAUAACCAUUUUAAACUGACUCAGGACAUCUGGACAACCAUGAUAGCACAACUAGGACACUCACAAGAGAGGACUUUUGAAACUGGUAAGAAUGAAGAGAAAAUAUUUUUGAGGGUGAAUAAAGGCAGUGCAUCAUUUACUGUAAAUUUUUUAAAUUUAAACACACGUAUUAAGUGACUCACAUGUUUAUCA